CAAAGUUGUACUUGAUCAAGAUGGCUGAUAUGAAGAAGCUUAUAUUGAACAUUGCUUUGCUGUUUGUUCUUCUUUUCUCCAGUAAAGUCGCAGCUAUGGUACCAGCAUUUUGGAUGUCUGAUCAUCACAUAACACAUAAAAUUGGCCGCGUUGCUGAUAUUCCUCAAGGCCACAACUAUCGUCAUGGUUAGAACUAAACAAAACCAUAGCUCUCUAUGAAGAACCUUGUGGCCAAAAGAUUAUUGUCAAAGAAUGCAUGGAGGAGAUAGAUCUUAUUCUUAAUUUUUGUGCAAAGCAUGAUAUCCCUUAUUGUUAAUUAUCCAAUAAAAAAAAUGUGAGACUCGUAUGUAAUACAAAUAUGUAUGGUUAAGUAAAUUAUCGUUCGUUAUAUCA